GCGCAGAGAUGCGGACAUCGCGAGCCAAUGGGAUGUUCGUCAUUUUCACAUGGGUCUUUGGAGAUAUACCUUGGAAAUAAGAAACAGGGUAGUGGAAAUACGGGGCUGGGGUAUUCCGAGACAUUCAAACCAUCAUCUGAAGGUUUUUUUUUCGGGGUGUUUUACGAAACGAAAUUUGCUGGGAUGAUGGACGGAGGCUGACUGGGAGCCCGGUGGUGUUUGAGAAGAUCCCCCGCAAGUGGCGACUACAGGAGAUCGAGUCGAGGACCUGUUGUUCAUUUUCUCAAUCGAAGAUGGGCUUCAGGUUAGUGGAGGCUGAUGGUCAGAGCUUCUUAGGGGUGUUUCGUCGACGCAGGUACGGGACUAGAGACAACCAUCUAACUAGCUGGUUGAGGAUCUGUGUUGUUUCAUUCAACUCCCAAGCGACUUGAUUGACCGCCCAGAGAAUUGGCUGGCGGGUCUCUCUGCCGUGGUGAAGAUGUUUGACAGAAAACCAAAUAUGCCAGAAGGGGGAGAGUAAAGUAAUUAAAUACAGUUGGCUGUUUAGUGGUUGGGACGAUGCUGAAACUUGGGACUUGAUCCUUACAAUUUAUGUCAAGGGGAACGUCUACUGUCGCAGGU
rnacentral:sRNA from 2 species